CUACGGGCCGCAGCAGUGGGGAAUCUUGCGCAAUGGGCGAAAGCCUGACGCAGCAACGCCGCGUGAGCGAAGAAGGCCUUCGGGUUGUAAAGCUCUGUCAGGGGGAAAGAAGGCACCUGGGUUAAUAGCCCAAGGGCUGACGGUACCCCCAAAGGAAGCCACGGCUAACUACGUGCCAGCAGCCGCGGUAAUACGUAGGUGGCAAGCGUUGUCCGGAAUCAUUGGGCGUAAAGCGCGCGUAGGUGGUUUGUCAGGUCCGAUGUGAAAUCCUGGGGCUCAACUCCAGGCGUGCAUUGGAAACCGGCUUACUAGAGUCUGGGAGAGGAGAGUGGAAUUCCUGGUGUAGGGGUGAAAUGCGUAGAUAUCAGGAGGAACACCAGUAGCGAAGGCGGCUCUCUGGAACAGUACUGACGCUGAGGCGCGAAAGCUAGGGGAGCGAACAGGAUUAGAUACCCUGGUAGUC
rnacentral:rRNA from 1 species